rnacentral:lncRNA from 1 species
UUUUUUUUUUUUUUUUUGAGAAAAAGAUAGUAAGUUACCUGCUUUAUUCACUAGAAAAGUGAACUAGAUUUACAGAAUGGAAGCAGGUAGGGCCUCCGGAGGAGAAGGGGGAAAGAAAGUAGACAAAACAACCGAAAAGAAAAUAGGAGAGUAAAUCUAAAAAAAGGAGGAGUUAGUGGCACGUGAGCCAGUUAGACACCAGGGAUUUGACACGAUCAAGUGCUCGGGAGUUGUUGGCAAGCUUCGCGAGGAAAAGACAGUCAUUCCUCUCGGUCCAAACGACCCACCAAAUAGCUGUCAGUAAGAUAAAGAUACCCAACUUUGUUAAAUAAACAAA